CGUAACUGACGCUGAGGAGCGAAAGCGUGGGGAGCGAACAGGAUUAGAUACCCUGGUAGUCCACGCCGUAAACGGUGGGUGCUAGUUGUGGGUCACAUUCCACGUGAUCCGUGACGAAGUUAACACAUUAAGCACCCCGCCUGGGGAGUACGGUCGCAAGACUAAAACUCAAAGGAAUUGACGGGGGCCCGCACAAGCGGCGGAGCACGCGGAUUAAUUCGAUGCAACGCGAAGAACCCUACCAAGGCUUGACAUAUAGAGGAAAAGCGUAGAAAUACGCUCCCCGCAAGGUCUCUAUACAGGUGGUGCAUGGUUGUCGUCAGCUCGUGUCGUGAGAUGUUGGGUUAAGUCCCGCAACGAGCGCAACCCUCGUCCUAUGUUGCCAGCACGUAAUGGUGGGAACUCAUGGGAGACUGCCGGGGUCAACUCGGAGGAAGGUGGGGAUGACGUCAAAUCAUCAUGCCCCUUAUGUCUUGGGCUUCACGCAUGCUGCAAUGGCCAGUACAAAGGGCUGCGAUACCGCAAGGUGGAGCGAAUCCCAUAAAGCUGGUCUCAGUUCGGAUUGAGGUCUGCAACUCGACCUCAUGAAGUCGGAGUCGCUAGUAAUCGUAGAUCAGCAACGCUACGGUGAAUACGUUCCCGGGCCUUGUACACACCGCCCGUCAAGUCACGAAAGUCGGUAACACCCGAAGCCGGUGGCCUAACCGUAAGGAAGGAGCCGUCGAAGGUGGGAUCGGUGAUUGGGACUAAGUCGUAACAAGGUA
rnacentral:rRNA from 1 species